GGAGUUAGCCGGUGCUUCUUCUGUGAGUGAUGUCCUUCCUGCCGGCUAUUAACCCGCAGGCCUUCUUCCUCACUGAAAGUGCUUUACAACCCGAAGGCCUUCUUCACACACGCGGCAUGGCUGGAUCAGGGUUGCCCCCAUUGUCCAAUAUUCCCCACUGCUGCCUCCCGUAGGAGUCUGGGCCGUGUCUCAGUCCCAGUGUGGCUGAUCAUCCUCUCAGACCAGCUACGGAUCGUCGCCUUGGUGAGCCGUUACCUCACCAACCAGCUAAUCCGACAUAGGCUCAUCCAAUAGCGCGAGGCCCGAAGGUCCCCCGCUUUCCCCCGUAGGGCGUAUGCGGUAUUAGCCUGGGUUUCCCCAGGUUAUCCCCCACUACCGGGCAGAUUCCUAUGCAUUACUCACCCGUCCGCCGCUCGCCACCAGGGAGCAAGCUCCCCGUGCUGCCGCUCGACUUGCAUGUGUUAGGCCUGCCGCCAGCGUUCAAUCUGAACCAAGAUCAAAUUCUGA
rnacentral:rRNA from 1 species